CAGGGCCAGUGGAUCACAGGGAGGGAGUUGUUGUACAGCUGAUGACACAGAGGAAAUGAGGAGGACUGUGACAUGAGUGGUGUGUCAUCAGGCUCCUCACUUCACUGAGUGACAGGUGAGAGGUGGCCACCUGCCUGCUGCCCUGUGUCUCGUGAUCAAGGCUUCUCUGCAUCCACCAGUCCCGUGGCCCUCUACAGCUGAAGGAGACGAAGAAAUAGUUCAUGACACACAGAGUCUGAUGAUGUCAACAUUUCAGUGUUCAUGAAGUUUGUAAACCCAUCUGUGCUCUCUUGCCUGUACCUGCUUCCGUGAAAUGCAGUCAAGUUCAGAUGUUGUGACAGACUACAUGGCCCUCAAAGCUUUGAACUCUCUCUUAAGGAGGACUAUGUAAAGUCGGAGAGAAGCCAGCACUGUUGAGUAAUCAGGAAGAUGGGGUCUUCUUUGGAGAGGACAAUGCCAAAAGACAUAUUGGACAUAACAAGCCAUGAAAUUGCCUCACAAAAGAAAUCAUUUUUCUGAUUCAAUAAAUGAUCCUGGAGUUGGAGGAAACCUAUUCAAUGCCUGAUCUGAAUGAGAGAGAGCAAAGAAAAAUCUUUAAUGUUAUUUAAACUAGUCCCAGACUGAGGUAUGAGUUCUGAGAGAGGGUAAGACAAGAAUUCACUUCAAAAGAAGACCCAAAGAAAAUCAAAAGAUCACAAAAGAGACUUACUUAUUUUUAUGAUUCCAAAGAAAACAGCGCACUGUCUCCAGGCUUUGCCACCAAGCCACCCAGGUCUGAAAGGAUAACUACAUCAAGCUUAUUGUCUGCCAAGGGCAAACUUAUUCCUCACUCAAAGCUGGAGAAAAACCAGCAGUGAGCUGGGUGGGGUCAUUCUCCACAAAGACAACAGAGAGCUGAAAAUCCUCCAAAGAGAAAGUGACUUUCUUGCCACCAUUGGUCAAAGCCCCUGGAACCAUCCUCUGAAAAUUUGUUGGACAUGAAAAUUUCCAGCCUCUUCCUCAGAUCUAAUGAAGCAGAGUUUGCUUUCUUCUGCGGCCCCAGCGAGUUUUACAGAAGAGCAUAUAUCCCCAGUGUGAGAAGCAUCAUGGAGCUUCCACGAGAAUUUCUGGCUCAUGGAAAAUGCAACUGUGAGUUUCAGGGGAGAGGUCCAGAGAUGAAGCCACCAGCACCCCCUCUUUUCCAAUUAAGCUAGGGACUGAGCGUUACCACAAUCCCUCAAAAACUCUUGAAAAAUCACUCUAAGACUGA